rnacentral:rRNA from 1 species
ACCCGCACAAGCGGUGGAUGAUGUGGAUUAAUUCGAUGCAACGCGAAAACCUUACCUACCCUUGACAUGUCCGGAAUCCCGAAGAGAUUUGGGAGUGCUCGCAAGAGAACCGGAACACAGGUGCUGCAUGGCUGUCGUCAGCUCGUGUCGUGAGAUGUUGGGUUAAGUCCCGCAACGAGCGCAACCCUUGUCAUUAGUUGCCAUCAUUUGGUUGGGCACUCUAAUGAGACUGCCGGUGACAAACCGGAGGAAGGUGGGGAUGACGUCAAGUCCUCAUGGCCCUUAUAGGUGGGGCUACACACGUCAUACAAUGGCCGGUACAGAGGGUAGCCAACCCGCGAGGGGGAGCCAAUCCCACAAAGCCGGUCGUAGUCCGGAUCGCAGUCUGCAACUCGACUGCGUGAAGUCGGAAUCGCUAGUAAUCGCGGAUCAGCAUGUCGCGGUGAAUACGUUCCCGGGUCUU